AUCUCUCUGCCCUGCUGGUGAGGUUAGAUUGCCCAGGCGGAAUAAAUGUUGUACGGGUCCCCUUCCAGAGCUUCUGUGUGCCUGCCCUCCUCGCAGAGGGACGCCUAACGUAGCAACAAGGGAACCCACCUCGUAGGGAUUCGCUGUGCGGCCCUUCGACCCACGGCAGGAGUGGAGAGAUA
rnacentral:other from 1 species